CUUUCAACAACGGAUCUCUUGGUUCCAGCAUCGAUGAAGAACGCAGCGAAAUGCGAUAACUAAUGUGAUUGCAGAAUUCAGUGAAUCAUCGAGUCUUUGAACGCACAUUGCGCCCCUCGGUAUUCCGGGGGGCAUGCCUGUUCGAGCGUCAUU
rnacentral:rRNA from 2 species